CUACGGGAUGCAGCAGUGGGGAAUAUUGCGCAAUGGGGGCAACCCUGACGCAGCCAUGCCGCGUGUGUGAAGAAGGCCUUCGGGUUGUAAAGCACUUUCAAUUGGGAAGAAAGGUUGCCGGUUAAUACCCGGUAGCUGUGACAUUACCUUUAGAAGAAGCACCGGCUAACUCCGUGCCAGCAGCCGCGGUAAUACGGAGGGUGCGAGCGUUAAUCGGAAUUACUGGGCGUAAAGCGCGCGUAGGCGGUUUGUUAAGUUGGAUGUGAAAGCCCCGGGCUCAACCUGGGAAUUGCACCCGAUACUGGCCGACUAGAGUACGAGAGAGGGAGGUAGAAUUCCACGUGUAGCGGUGAAAUGCGUAGAUAUGUGGAGGAAUACCGGUGGCGAAGGCGGCCUCCUGGCUCGAUACUGACGCUGAGGUGCGAAAGCGUGGGGAGCAAACAGGAUUAGAUACCCCUGUAGUC
rnacentral:rRNA from 1 species